rnacentral:lncRNA from 1 species
CAACUAGUGAGUUAACAUGUUUAGCUCAGCACUUGUGGGUAUGUACAAGCUCAUGCAUAAACAUAAACUGAACUACCCUUGUGGAAAGAGGCUAAUACCUUUUUAGAACAUAAGUGAAAAAUAGCAACCAAUGAAAAUUGAAAACUGCAUGAUCCUAAUUGCUGAGAGAAUGACUUAUUUGUCCAAGCCAACCAAGAAGACAGAAAGCUGAGGAGUGGGUAGACAUUUAACUGGUAAAGGUCAAACUACAUAAAAUUACUCCAAUAGAUUCUGAAAAUUUAAGUGCAGCUGUGGAUUGGAACAUAAUAUUAUAGUGUAACACAUGGUGAAUGUUCCUAGAAACCCAAAAGGCUAUCAGGAAUGAACUGAACUAUUUGUGCUGGAAAAAUCCUGAUCUAAGGUUAACAGUUUACAUGGAUUCAAAAAGAAACUGAAGUAAUCUGGAGAAGAAAAAACAAAAUGAAAGCUGUUAAGUCCAAGAGGUGACCUCAACCCUAGGAAUCCUCUGCAGAGUUGCAGGCUUUGAGUGAAUCCUGGAAUAGGACUCAGUUUUUUGUCUUGUGUUUUAUUCUUCUGGAGGAAUCCACCUGAGGCCAGUUCUGCAGACAGAAUUCAGGGCAGGAUGAUCUGAUUUUUUAACCAUUCCUGUGAUUUCUCUUAGGAUUCCACAUACUCUCACACAAAUUAAAACAUGACUGAACACAGAAAGAA